GGCCUAACACAUGCAAGUCGAACGAUGAUCCCACCUUGCUGGGGGAUUAAUGGCGAACGGGUGAGUAACACGUGAGUAACCUGGCCUUAACUCUGGGAUAAGCCUGGGAAACUGGGUCUAAUACCGGAUAUGACUCCUCAUCGCAUGGUGGGGGGUGGAAAGCUUUGUGUGGUUUUGGAUGGACUCGCGGCCUAUCAGCUUCUUGGUGAGGUAAUGGCUUACCAAGGCGACGACGGGUAGCCGGCCUGACAGGGUGACCGGCCACACUGGGACUGAUACACGGCCCAGACUCCUACGGGAGGCAGUAGUGGGGAAUAUUGCUCAAUGGGCGCAAGCCUGAUGCAGCGACGCCGUGUGAGGGAUGACGGCCUUCGGGUUGUAAACCUCUUUCAGUAGGGAAGAAGCAAUAGUGACUGUACCGCCAGAAGAAGCGCCGGCUAACUACGUGCCAGCAGCCGCGGGAAU
rnacentral:rRNA from 1 species